rnacentral:rRNA from 1 species
UAUCCAGACUCCUACGGGAGGCAGCAGUGAGGAAUAUUGGUCAAUGGGCUAAGGCCUGAACCAGCCAAGUCGCGUGAGGGAAGACGGUCCUAUGGAUUGGAAACCUCUUUUGUCGGGGAGCAAAAGACGCCACGCGUGGCGUUCCGAGAGUACCCGAAGAAAAAGCAUCGGCUAACUCCGUGCCAGCAGCCGCGGUAAUACGGAGGAUGCGAGCGUUCUCCGGUUUUAUUGGGUUUAAAGGGUGCGCAGGCGGAAGAUCAAGUCGGGGAUAAAAUUGGGGGGCCCAACCUCUUCGAGCCGUUGAAACUGGUUUUCUUGAGUGAGUGAGAAGUAUGCGGAAUGCGUGGUGUAGCGGUGAAAUGCAUAGAUAUCACGCAGAACUCCGAUUGCGAAGGCAGCAUACCGGCGCUCAACUGACGCUCAUGCACGAAAGUGUGGGUAUCGAACAGGAUUAGAUCCCCCAGUA